UCAGCACCCAGUUGGAUAUUCAACAGACAUUUGCAACAAGGUAGGACAUUACAACGAUACUAGGAUAUUUUAAGCGAUUGUGGAAAAUGUAGGUUAUAGGCAAGACACUUGGUAAUUAGAAAUUGCUAAGAUUAAACUUCUGGCAUGUCUACUAAGAAAGUUAUUGACCCCGGAAGUCCGAAUGUCUGAAUAUCAAACCAACUUAACCGCAGUAUAGUUAGCUGUAUAGUUAGCUGUUUCACAAGUUCAUUGUAUUUGAAGCUCAGUGAUCUAUUAUUGUGAAAUGACAAUCAAUUUCUAUCAACACUGUUGCAAAAUAUAAAUGACAUUUUGACUAGCCACGUAGUGUAUGCUUAAACAGGCAGGUGGAUUGGAGUGCUCCUUAUUAACUGAGAUUGUUAUUAUCAAAAGUUUUGCUUAAAAAAUAUAUAUUAAUACAUUUAUUUAUGUAUAACAAUAUACAUAUUGCAUACUAAAGCACAUUAAAUGUUUUAUAUAUAUAUAUAUUCUGUAUAAGGGAGACUGAUUUCUAGAUAUGUAUUUAAUGUUUUGAAUCUUUUCUUUUGCAGAGAAAGCAUUGUAGCCAACAUUAAAAGGUAUGUUGCUGUAACAUCAUCAAGGAAAAUAAACCUGGAAAGUGAGGAGGCUCCAUCAACCUCAAGAUAGUAAAAGAAAACUCCUGUGAACCUGUGCUUAAUUCAAGUUUUUACUACACUUAAACUGUUAAAUUAUUUAACAAAUUAAUCUUGAAAUGACACUUACUGCUCUCAAAUGCUGUUAUUUCAUAUGGUGCUAAAGGACAUUUUUUGGCUUUCUAUUAAUGGAUUGGUGUGACAAGGGAGUUUUUUUCAAAAUGACAAAAAUGAUACAGACAUCAUAAAUCACAGUACUUUUGUACUUUAAGUACAUUUUGAGGCAAAUACUUUUGUGUGUGUGUGUGUGUGUGUGUGUGUGUGUGUGUGUGUGUGUGUGUGUGUGUGUGUGUGUGUGUGUGUGUGUGUGUGUGUGUGUGUGUGUGUGUGUGUGUGUGUGUGUGUGUGUGUGUGUGUGUAGCACUCUUUGUAUCUGUUUACAUUUAUAUUUGUUUAAUCUUUCUAUCUCUUUGUUGUGAGUCUUUCUAUCUGUUUGUGUUUCUGCCCAUCAACAUGCCCAUCCAUUCAGAACUCCAAUAACAUCUCAUGAUCUUGGAUAAGUUGGUUGAUGGUCAAGAACUGAAGGAUGAGCUCCAAAGUCCUAAUGACUUUCUUGGUGAGCUGCAAGAAGAGGAAGCAGCACCGCCAGUGAAGACACCUGAGCCGAGGGUGCAUUGGAGAAAAAGAGACAUUGAUGGAAAUAUUGUCUAUGCAAGGUCAAGCAGGAAUCAACCAAAGAAAGUUCAGUAUCGUUUAUUUUUGAGAGGUGGAGGGCAGAGAGACCCCGUCUGCUGAACACGGCUGUGGCAAAAGAAAAUGUUUGUGGCAGAAGCCCAGCUGUUUUCCGGUGUUGUGACUGUCGACCUCGUCCCUUCUUCUGUGCUGAAUGUGACGUCAUCAUGUCCUCCAUAGCAGAGAUGCCAUGACUGCUGGAUUCUUCCAGCCAUUGCCUCCAACAACUGUUAUGGUGGAUAAGGCUCUUUCCCAUUGUGUGCGGCUUGUACCUGUGGAAAUGCCUGACAAAAUCUAUGGUUGUUCACCUGAGUCAUCAAGGGUCUGUCCAGGAAAGACAAUUGCUGUGGUCACAAUUAAUGAUGUGACCUCCAAGACCUUCUUAACAUUCAUUUCCUUUUAGUAUUUCAUACCAAAGCCCAUGAUUUUAAAUGUGAGGUGAAAUGGAGUAUGGCAUAUCAAGAUGUUGCUGGAUUAACACAAGGAGAGGAGGUGGAACAGUGCAAUGCCUUUUUCUGUAGGAUCACAGUGACCACAAAACCCAAGCAAGUAAAACAACUGCACUAGCAGGUGCAAUACUGCACUAGUUAUAUUAUCAUAUAAUAAAUAGGGGGCAUAAUAUGAAGACAUAAUAUUUUGUGUGUUUGCAGGAUGCUCAGACCUGCCGACCCUCACAUGGCCAUGUGCUGGAAUCAGCAAAAGUUUGACAAUUUGGCCAUCUCACUUACUCACUGAUAUCAGAAGGUAAUGACAUCAGUAUAAUUUGUUUGAGAUGUUUUGAAUUGUGUGUUAGCAGUGUUUGAAGCUGUGCAUUAAAGAUUUGGUUUUGUUUCUUGCUAUCUGUGAUUGUUUGCCAAAAAAAGCUCUGCAAAUCCAGUUACAAAACCAUGAAAAAGUCCAUGAAAACUCAGUGACUUAAGACUUUCUCAUAAUUGCAUUCCAGACUCUGUUGAUCUAAGGACAGUGUCAGUUUGGAGACCUCAGUAGGAGCAAAAGAUUCUUGUUGCAGAGAUGGACCAUCAUUGGAAAUCUCUUUCAGCCUGUGCUGAUGCCAUCAGAGAGCUGUCCUGCUUGUUUUCUAAUGAGACAAUGAAAAUGGCAAAACCUGGGAUGACACCUGGGAGCCUGCCAGUGAAUUCUAGCACAAGUCUCCACAUCCCAGCCAGCUUUCAGCAUGACAGCCUACACCUGUACAUUAUCAAGCACAAUUAAAGUGUUAUUUUAGCCUUUCCUUGCUGCUCUUUAUUAAAGUUUUUGCACAGUACCCAGUCUCUUUUAGUGUUUUUUAUUUUGUCUUUUUUAAAACUCUGUAUUUCCAUAAACUACACAGCAGACAAGAAGUGUCCCAUGCAAGAUCAUAAGGUAGAGAGUUAGUGCUGUUUGCCAUAAUAAAAUUCCCAAAGGCAUUAUAUUUAAAGAUUUUUGGAGCACAGUUUUAAGAUGGGUAAGUCUAC